rnacentral:lncRNA from 1 species
GUCCAAACCGUGGGAAGACUUUCCAUUGAUUUCAGAGGGGAUUAAAUCAGGAUAACCUGACAUGGUGGAGGAAAUGAAAAAUUAGUUAAGUGUGAAUGGAAACGUUGGAGAAAUGUGGACGUAUUCCCCAGAACAGGGUGCCUUGGAAAUGCAUAGCAGUUGGUCAGGAGGAUGAGAGCACCAGCCUUCAUCCAAGGGGUAAUGAUGUUAUGGGGUGGGUGAGUGCUGGAAAACCAGUGCUUGAGAUGCAGAGGGCUGUCUGCCACAGAUAGAUUAGCAAAUAGAUCAAACAGCAUUGCCAGCUGUGUGCUCCUCUGCCUCAAACGUUUCACUUAUUCGGCAGUCUUUGUGAAGUUUGCAAGAUGUAUCUGCCCUGGCUCCCACUUUAGAGAGUGGGAACAAGAUUUUUUUUUUUUUUUUUUUUUCUUGAGUUCUGAGGCUUUGCUUUCCUGAUCUGUCUUUGCUUAGCCUGAAAACAACUCAGCAGGUCUUCUGUGGGAAUUAAGCAAACAGACUACAAGGCUGGGAGCGUGUUUUGGAGACGUGAGCUGAGCAGCUGAAGUAGGGAGUGAAGGGAUGCGCAUCAGCAAAGCAACAAAUUACAAACUUCUUGCUACAGACCCACUGCCUGGAAGUCCAUUAGUUGGGUGGUCCUGAGGGGUUGCAUUUUGCUAACAUCAGGGACAGCAGGUUUUUUGGUUGGAGUGCUGUUAUGAGGGAAUUCCUGUGGGAGAACAUUAGCUUGAGUGUAAUCUCAGGACACGGAAAAUCUGCAGAUAAUUCCUUUUGUCGUCUGUUUGGACUUAAAAGUUUUUGUCCAUUCUUGGUGUAAUUAACUGAGGGUUAUUCUCACCUGAUUCGGAAUGCAGAAUCAGGGACUCAGCAGCAGCAAGUAAUUUUUCUUCUGGUUGGUUUUUAGCCUGGCUGGUGGGAGCUGGGAAAUUUUAGCAUAUGUAAUUUGAAUUAUUUCAUGAAACAUUUAACAAGGGCCUAUUUCAUUCUUCACUAAGGCAAGUUGAUAUAAGAAGGAUGAUGUUAUGGUUAAUGUAAAUC